GACGAACGCUGGCGGCGUGCUUAACACAUGCAAGUCGAACGGAAAGGCCCUGCUUUUGUGGGGUGCUCGAGUGGCGAACGGGGGAGUAACACGUGAGUAACCUGCCCUUGACUUUGGGAUAACUUCAGGAAACUGGGGCUAUUACCGGAUAGGAGCUCCUGCUGCAUGGUGGGGGUUGGAAAGUUUCGGCGGUUGGGGAUGGACUCGCGGCUUAUCAGCUGGUUGGUGGGGUAGUGGCUUACCAAGGCUUUGACGGGUAGCCGGCCUGAGAGGGUUACCGGCCACAUUGGUACUGCGAUACGGCGCAGACUCCUACGGGAGGCAGCAGUGGGGAAUAUUGCACAAUGGGCGGAAGCCUGAUGCAGCAACGCCGCGUGCGGGAUGACGGCCUUCGGGUUGUAAACCGCUUUCGCCGGUGACGAAGCGUGAGUGACGGUAAUGGGUAAAGAAGCACCGGCUAACUACGUG
rnacentral:rRNA from 1 species